rnacentral:rRNA from 1 species
UGGGGAAUCUUGGACAAUGGGCGCAAGCCUGAUCCAGCCAUGCCGCGUGAGUGAAGAAGACCUUCGGGUUGUAAAGCUCUUUUACCAGGGACGAUAAUGACGGUACCUGGAGAAUAAGCCCCGGCAAACUUCGUGCCAGCAGCCGCGGUAAUACGAAGGGGGCUAGCGUUGUUCGGAAUUACUGGGCGUAAAGCGCACGUAGGCGGAUUGUUAAGUCAGAGGUGAAAUCCCGGAGCUCAACUUCGGAACUGCCUUUGAUACUGGCAAUCUAGAGUCCGGAAGAGGUUAGUGGAAUUCCCAGUGUAGAGGUGAAAUUCGUAGAUAUUGGGAAGAACACCAGUGGCGAAGGCGGCUAACUGGUCCGGUACUGACGCUGAGGUGCGAAAGCGUGGGGAGCAAACAGGAUUAGAUACCCCUGUAGUCCCUGAGCGGGCUGGCAAGGCGCAU